CUGGAUUUAAGGAAGUUCAGCAACUUGGAGAUUGGAGGAACCAAAUCUAAGGCAUACACCUUUGCUACAGCCCAAAGCAGAGAGGACCGCUACACCUUCAGCACACAUAAAGUCACCUGUAAACAUUACAGUUACCGUGUGUCCAACAGCCCUCCUCUCAGUGCUGAGUUCAGUAGAGAUUUGGCCAGACUGCCAGCUACCUGCAGCUAUGCAACCAGAGCCCAGUACAGACGCCUCAUAGACACAUACGGACACACUAUAUUCACCAGCAGGGGUCCCGACCUGGAUUCCAAGUGUUGUCCUAAAGAGACUCAGAGGGGAACAGUGACGAUAACCAUGAUCCAAG